rnacentral:rRNA from 1 species
GACGAACGCUGGCGGCGUGCUUAACACAUGCAAGUCGAACGGAAAGGCCCUGCUUUUGUGGGGUGCUCGAGUGGCGAACGGGUGAGUAACACGUGAGUAACCUGCCCUUGACUUUGGGAUAACUUCAGGAAACUGGGGCUAAUACCGGAUAGGAGCUCCUGCUGCAUGGUGGGGGUUGGAAAGUUUCGGCGGUUGGGGAUGGACUCGCGGCUUAUCAGCUUGUUGGUGGGGUAGUGGCUUACCAAGGCUUUGACGGGUAGCCGGCCUGAGAGGGUGACCGGCCACAUUGGGCCUGAGAUACGGCCCAGACUCCUACGGGAGGCAGCAGUGGGGAAUAUUGCACAAUGGGCGGAAGCCUGAUGCAGCAACGCCGCGUGCGGGAUGACGGCCUUCGGGUUGUAAACCGCUUUCGCCUGUGACGAAGCGUGAGUGACGGUAAUGGGUAAAGAAGCACCGGCUAACUAUGUG